AUGUAUGUCUCAAUUUUGAUAAAAGGAAGAAAAUUUUAGUGUAGCGAUAAAGACCAGGCCAUUGUUUCUUGAUAAACAUUGACGUUCCUUUAUCUUGUGAACCAUUGAAGAACGCGUAGAUCUGAUAAUUUUUUUAAUAACAAAAUUUUUAAAUUUUAGCAAAAUAAAAUUUUAUCGGUUUAUAGAUCAUUGUGCGAUACAUAAUGUUUUUCUUUUUUUUGCAAAUGUUUUUUAAACAUGUGCUUUAAAGUUUUAUAUAAAAUGCCUUACAUUUUUUAUAUUUUUCUUAUAAUUAUUCAUAAAUUAUCUCAACUUCAUAAAUACACUGUCUGUAACAUGUACAUGUAAUGCGUCAAAUAUAAUUACAAAGACAUAUUACAUGUUAUUUAAAAUAAAAUGUUUAAAUAUUUAGUAUUAUAAUGGAACUAGAAUUAUAACAUGAAAUUUCAUAUGAAAAUAAUUACUCGCGAUAAUUUUGUAAAAUUAAUAUAUCGUGCGUGAAUAUGACACGCAAACGGAAGACGUAAUCGACAUUUAACGCACACAAAUCAUCGAUUACGCGUUCUUUGUGCAGGUGUCACGGUUCAAGGUUGGAUCGAUAGUGUUGAAGCUAUGGUUAUGUUCCAAAACUUUAAUCGCUGAAUAGCUAUUGGUCGAGACUUUUCAAAUAUAAACUCGAUCUUGAGAAUUUUUCAAAAAGGGAAAAAAGGUCAAUCUUGUUUCAGAAUAACAAAUUCCUCAAAUUCUUAACCCGAAAAUUUAUAAAUAGUUUCUAGAAAGUUCUAAUUUAUCUAUCCGACUAUUGUCCCAUCAAACGAAAAAAAAGGGAAACUAAUUCACUUUUUCUCGAUAUGUUUCUGAAAUGUCCGUCGGACGAUAAGCUUUUGGUUUGAUGUUUUAAAACCCAUUAACCUGCGCGAUUUUCUUCCUGUAGAUUUAUAGGCUUACGACUGUGAGGCAAUAUACGGUGCUCGACACCGACAAAAAUAACACACUGAUUAGAUAAAUGUGGCGUAUUGUUAGCGAUGAUACCGAUGGAUGGAUGACCGUUCAUCUAUAGAUGUAUAGGAGAAAGACAAACACUUAUGGAUUCUUGAACGUUAUUGUCUGCACGAAACCGAAGAAAAACAGUUAAAUCUGACAGGAAGCGAAGAGUUAGCGCUCGUUAACCCGCCAAUUAGAAGGUUUAGUUGAAGGCAGGGUUAAGUUUAGCAAGAGCAAUACGUACGGGUCAUAAGACAAGAGGUGUCAUCCUGCCCCCGACAUUAAGGAGGGAGGUACUUGUUAUUUCCCUGUUUGCGGUUAUUUAUUUCUUCCGCAAGAAAGUUCCGUGCCAAGCACAAUUCCUAGCAACAAUCUACAUUCAAAUGAAUAAAUAUAAUGUAAAUAAUGUUUCCAGUACAUCCAAAUAUAUACGUCUGCAUCUUAUAUUUUCUGUUAUAAAUGCCUUCAGUAAUAUAUCAUGAAAAUUUUCACAAAUUUAGACAAAUCAUUUCUGAAGUGGAAGUAUCAAACUCAUCGUAUCUAUUUAAGAAAAAAAAAUCAUGGUUCAAGAAACCCUAAUUUUCGGAUUGAGCAGCACUUGUUUGUGAGAAAAUUUUGUAUCGAGAAAA